UGAACGUGGUCAAGUUUCUCCCACGUGGUGGGAAAUGCUGAUGUACUGAAGAGCGAUCAGCUGAGGCCUUGUUCAAUCUUGUGGCUACAGAAAGUGGAAUUGCCUCUGGUGACUAUCUCUUUAAGAAGGAAGAACGCAAAACAGGAAGAGAAAAGAUCACAUUGUGAGGGUCAACGUUGAAACCUAACUCUUUGUCAGGGCCGCGGGAAGAUGGGAACUGCCCACAGAACAGGGAGGAGAGAAGCAGAUGGACGCCCCAGUCCAUAAAGAAUGGAACGGCCUCCCUUCAAUAAUGAGAUUUUGAGAGGAAGGAAAACGAUCUUGUCACAUCUCUGCCUAAAAUUCUUCAAAGAGGAGAAGAAGAAAAGAGUUG
rnacentral:lncRNA from 1 species